GGGUUGUGAGGUUAAGCGACUAAGCGUACACGGUGGAUGCCCUGGCAGUCAGAGGCGAUGAAGGACGUGCUAAUCUGCGAAAAGCGUCGGUAAGGUGAUAUGAACCGUUAUAACCGGCGAUGUCCGAAUGGGGAAACCCAGUGCAAUUCGUUGCACUAUCGUUAACUGAAUACAUAGGUUAACGAGGCGAACCGGGGGAACUGAAACAUCUAAGUACCCCGAGGAAAAGAAAUCAACCGAGAUUCCCCCAGUAGCGGCGAGCGAACGGGGAGCAGCCCAGAGUCUGAAUCAGCUUGUGUGUUAGUGGAACGGUCUGGAAAGUCCGACGGUACAGGGUGAUAGUCCCGUACACCAAAAUGCACAGGCUGUGAACUCGAAGAGUAGGGCGGGACACGUGGUAUCCUGUCUGAAUAUGGGGGGACCAUCCUCCAAGGCUAAAUACUCCUGACUGACCGAUAGUGAACCAGUACCGUGAGGGAAAGGCGAAAAGAACCCCGGCGAGGGGAGUGAAAAAGAACCUGAAACCGUGUACGUACAAGCAGUGGGAGCACCUUCGGGUGUGACUGCGUACCUUUUGUAUAAUGGGUCAGCGACUUAUAUUCUGUAGCAAGGUUAACCGUAUAGGGGAGCCGCAGGGAAACCGAGUCUUAACUGGGCGUUAAGUUGCAGGGUAUAGACCCGAAACCCGGUGAUCUAGCCAUGGGCAGGUUGAAGGUUGGGUAACACUAACUGGAGGACCGAACCGACUAAUGUUGAAAAAUUAGCGGAUGACUUGUGGCUGGGGGUGAAAGGCCAAUCAAACCGGGAGAUAGCUGGUUCUCCCCGAAAGCUAUUUAGGUAGCGCCUCGUGAAUUCAUCUUCGGGGGUAGAGCACUGUUUCGGCUAGGGGGUCAUCCCGACUUACCAACCCGAUGCAAACUACGAAUACCGAAGAAUGUUAUCACGGGAGACACACGGCGGGUGCUAACGUCCGUCGUGAAGAGGGAAACAACCCAGACCGCCAGCUAAGGUCCCAAAGUCAUGGUUAAGUGGGAAACGAUGUGGGAAGGCACAGACAGCCAGGAUGUUGGCUUAGAAGCAGCCAUCAUUUAAAGAAAGCGUAAUAGCUCACUGGUCGAGUCGGCCUGCGCGGAAGAUGUAACGGGGCUAAACCAUGCACCGAAGCUGCGGCAGCGACACUAUGUGUUGUUGGGUAGGGGAGCGUUCUGUAAGCCUGCGAAGGUGUGCUGUGAGGCAUGCUGGAGGUAUCAGAAGUGCGAAUGCUGACAUAAGUAACGAUAAAGCGGGUGAAAAGCCCGCUCGCCGGAAGACCAAGGGUUCCUGUCCAACGUUAAUCGGGGCAGGGUGAGUCGACCCCUAAGGCGAGGCCGAAAGGCGUAGUCGAUGGGAAACAGGUUAAUAUUCCUGUACUUGGUGUUACUGCGAAGGGGGGACGGAGAAGGCUAUGUUAGCCGGGCGACGGUUGUCCCGGUUUAAGCAUGUAGGCUGGUUGUCCAGGCAAAUCCGGAUAAUCAAGGCUGAGGUGUGAUGACGAGGUACUACGGUGCUGAAGUAACAAAUGCCCUGCUUCCAGGAAAAGCCUCUAAGCAUCAGGUAACAUCAAAUCGUACCCCAAACCGACACAGGUGGUCAGGUAGAGAAUACCAAGGCGCUUGAGAGAACUCGGGUGAAGGAACUAGGCAAAAUGGUGCCGUAACUUCGGGAGAAGGCACGCUGGUGUGUAGGUGAAGUCCCUGCGGAUGGAGCUGAGACCAGUCGAAGAUACCAGCUGGCUGCAACUGUUUAUUAAAAACACAGCACUGUGCAAACACGAAAGUGGACGUAUACGGUGUGACGCCUGCCCGGUGCCGGAAGGUUAAUUGAUGGGGUUAUCCGUAAGGAGAAGCUCUUGAUCGAAGCCCCGGUAAACGGCGGCCGUAACUAUAACGGUCCUAAGGUAGCGAAAUUCCUUGUCGGGUAAGUUCCGACCUGCACGAAUGGCGUAAUGAUGGCCAGGCUGUCUCCACCCGAGACUCAGUGAAAUUGAACUCGCUGUGAAGAUGCAGUGUACCCGCGGCAAGACGGAAAGACCCCGUGAACCUUUACUAUAGCUUGACACUGAACAUUGAGCCUUGAUGUGUAGGAUAGGUGGGAGGCUUUGAAGCGUGGACGCCAGUCUGCGUGGAGCCAACCUUGAAAUACCACCCUUUAAUGUUUGAUGUUCUAACGUUGGCCCCUGACCGGGGUUGCGGACAGUGUCUGGUGGGUAGUUUGACUGGGGCGGUCUCCUCCCAAAGCGUAACGGAGGAGCACGAAGGUUAGCUAAUCCUGGUCGGACAUCAGGAGGUUAGUGCAAUGGCAUAAGCUAGCUUGACUGCGAGCGUGACGGCGCGAGCAGGUGCGAAAGCAGGUCAUAGUGAUCCGGUGGUUCUGAAUGGAAGGGCCAUCGCUCAACGGAUAAAAGGUACUCCGGGGAUAACAGGCUGAUACCGCCCAAGAGUUCAUAUCGACGGCGGUGUUUGGCACCUCGAUGUCGGCUCAUCACAUCCUGGGGCUGAAGUAGGUCCCAAGGGUAUGGCUGUUCGCCAUUUAAAGUGGUACGCGAGCUGGGUUUAGAACGUCGUGAGACAGUUCGGUCCCUAUCUGCCGUGGGCGCUGGAGAAUUGAGGGGGGCUGCUCCUAGUACGAGAGGACCGGAGUGGACGCAUCACUGGUGUUCGGGUUGUCAUGCCAAUGGCACUGCCCGGUAGCUAAAUGCGGAAGAGAUAAGUGCUGAAAGCAUCUAAGCACGAAACUUGCCCCGAGAUGAGUUCUCCCUGAGACUUUAAGUCUCCUGAAGGAACGUUGAAGACGACGACGUUGAUAGGCCGGGUGUGUAAGCGCAGCGAUGCGUUGAGCUAACCGGUACUAAUGAACCGUGAGGCUUAACCUUACAACGCCGAAG
rnacentral:rRNA from 1 species